rnacentral:lncRNA from 1 species
GGCAUCUUCGUACAAAAAGAAUAAAAUAGGAAACCAGGAAACAAGAAAAGAUAAGAGAAAGGUCUAGCAUAGAAUAGUCUCCCAAUUCCUUUGCAAACAUAAUCAGGCUCAAGUAUUCUAUAAUUAUACAUCUUGUAGCACACAUAGGCACGGCCUAACUUAGCUAUUGAUGCACACACAAAAGAAGUUGAACAUUGAACCUUCCUAACAAAGAUUAAAACUAAGAGAACUCAGACAACCAUCACGGAAACUAUAGCUAGUGUACAAACUAAUAAAUAUUAAAAUGACCUGCUAGCAAGCAGACAGAUAAACUGCAUGAAAAAGGGUACUUAGGCCAACUUCUGUGCAAGUGAAAGAGAAAGGAGAAAGAGCAAGCAAAAAGAAUGUCAGCAGGUAAAUGCAAAUCAUUAAAAGCCUAUUCAAUGACUGCAAACUCAAGCCACCAAAGUCAAAUUUUCCAUUCAACAAAUAUGAUCAUGAGUGCAUAAGAAGGCAUUAGUCAUCACAGAGAAAAGAUUUGUAAGCAUUUUAUUGUUG